CCCUUAGAUGUUCUGGGCCGCACGCGUGCUACACUGAACGGUUCAAUGGGUAAGGUAGUGCGAAAGCAUGACCUAAUCUCGAAAUCCGUUCGUGCUGGGGAUAGAAGCUCGCAAUUAUCCUUCUUGAACGAGGAAUACCUUGUAAGCGUGAGUCAUCAUCUCACGCUGAAUACGUCCCUGCCCUUUGUACACACCGCCCGUCGCUCCUACCGAUUGAGUGUUCCGGUGAGGCUUUGGGAGAAUGGCCUCAACAUGAGUUUAUCGUGUUUUGCCGUUUGAACUUAGUCAAACCUUAUCACUUAGAGGAAGGAGAAGUCGUAACA
rnacentral:rRNA from 1 species